rnacentral:rRNA from 1 species
CAAGAGCGUAUGUAAAAGUUGUUGCCGUUAAAAAGCUCGUAGUUGAACCUUGGGUUUGGUUGGCCGGUCCGCUUUUUUGCGAGUACUGGAUUCAACCGAGCCUUUCCUUCUGGCUAACCAGUCGUUUCGGCGGCUGGCGAACCAGGAUUUUUACUUUGAGAAAAUUAGAGUGUUCAAAGCAGGCAUUAGCUUGAAUAUAUUAGCAUGGAAUAAUAGAAUAGGACGUUAUGGUUCUAUUUUGUUGGUUUCUAGGACCAUCGUAAUGAUUAAUAGGGACGGUCGGGGGCAUCAGUAUUCAGUUGUCAGAGGUGAAAUUCUUGGAUUUACUGAAGACUAACUACUGCGAAAGCAUUUGCCAAGGACGUUUUCAUUAA